AUAGACUUAGUCCUAACCUUACUGUUAAUUCCUACCAGACCUAUACAUGCAAGUAUCCGCGACCCAGUGAAAAUGCCCUCAACUCUACACCAAGACAAGAGGGGCGGGCAUCAGGCACACACUAAUUGUAGCCCAAGACGCCUUGCUCAGCCACACCCCCACGGGUAUUCAGCAGUAACUAACAUUAAGCAAUAAGUGCAAACUUGACUUAGUCAUGGUAGCCCAGGGUUGGUAAAUCUUGUGCCAGCCACCGCGGUCAUACAAGAAACCCAAAUUAAUCGUCCACGGCGUAAAGAGUGGCCUAAAACUAUUGUCCAAGAUGAGGUUAAAGCAUGUCCAAGCCGUCAUAAGCCCAGGACACACCCAAACCCACCCACCCAUAUUACAACCUCAACCACCAACGAUCGACCAAACCCACGAAAGCCAAGACACAAACUGGGAUUAGAUACCCCACUAUGCUUGGCCGUUAAUUUAGGUGUUUCCCACACCCAAACACCCGCCAGGGGACUACGAGCACAAACGCUUGAAACCCUAAGGACUUGGCGGUGUUCCAAACCCACCUAGAGGAGCCUGUCCUAUAAUCGAUAACCCACGAUACACCCAACCCCUUCUUGCUUUAACAGCCUACAUACCGCCGUCGUCAGCCCACCUCACUUGAGAGCCAAACAGUGGGCCCAACAGCCCUACCCGCUAAAAAGACAGGUCAAGGUAUAGCUAAUGAAGGGGCAGAGAUGGGCUACAUUUUCUGACACAGACAAUCUACGAAAAGGGGCCUGAAACAGCCCCCAGAAGGCGGAUUUAGAAGUAAAAUGUGACCAUCACGCCCAUUUUAAACUGGCCCUGGAACACGUACAUACCGCCCGUCACCCUCCUCAUAAGCAACACUACCACAAACUAUAACCCACACCAAGCCAAAGAUGAGGUAAGUCGUAACAAGGUAAGUGUACCGGAAGGUGCACUUAGCAUAC
rnacentral:ncRNA from 1 species